UAUAUAUUUUCAACUUCUCUUCAAUUUUUUCCUUCUCAGUAAUGCCCCUUUUUCCCCUUACGGGAAGCUACUUAGUGAAACUUGAAGAGAGAAUAGAUCCUGCCGCUACCGUCAGCCAGCAAACCGACUAUCGAUUCGAGAUUCUUGAUCAGAUGGGCAAAUGGGCAUGCCCAACCCAACCCACAGAUGGAUUUGCUCGAAGUCACGCUCAACCCAGAUUUUUAUGAAGUUUCUGAGGUUUCUCAGAAAUCACUCAUAAGGCAACAGAAUUCAUAUUUCGACUCUAGGGAUUCCAUUUCCUACACACUCUUAGAUGCCAUGGUCAGCAUUCUUAAAUCCAAUUGGCAAAGCAGGAUUUAAAUCAGUGAUAAGCUCUUAGUGGCUUACAAACCUCAAAAGAGGAAGUUUGCAUCGUUUGGCGACAACGCUUUGGGAGAUGAAUGAGAAAAAAAAAAAAAAAAAAGGUUUGUUUAUGGUUUUUCAUUGUUUAAAAUUUAGACCCAUUAAAACUUAUUGCUUGGUGUGUUCAUGUAUUUUAAAAUCUGGUAAUAAAAACUGAAUAUGGUUUAGAUUUUUUUUGAACUGAGGUCCUUGGAAGCUUCAUUGCUUUUGCAAGAAUCUGAAAACCCAUUAUGAAUGGCAGGUUAUUGAUGACUGACUAUUUAUUUUGAUUGGUAAGUUACACACGCACACACACCCAGUGGGUCUCGAACUCAGUAUUCAGGACCUCAUCCUCCGUCCCUUUAUUAUGAGAGGAGGAAGUUCCAAUUGACCUAUAGCUAAUUGGUUGAUGACUGACUAUCUUUUAUAAUUGAAAACUUAAUAGAAAAGUUACAAUUGAGCUUGGCUUAAAAGCAGUCCAGUUUGAUGUUUUACAUUUGAUUUUUAUCGGAAGUUGACACUAGGGGUGCCCAGCUUGAUAAGCUAACAAUUAUUUAUUUUAAUUGUGUUACAAUUCUUGCAAGCAUAAUCAAUUUCUUCUGCUCCCCCCCUUUUUGGCCUCUUUUUCUUGUUAAUUUUUCUUCAUGGGGAAAUAAAUUUUACCUAACAUAUGCUUGAGUUGUUAUUGUACAAUCAAUGGAUGAUUGACUUGUUCUUUUUUAUUAUUAGUAUGGGGACCUUGUUAUUCAUUCCUAAGCCCCUAGUAGUUUUCCUAUCAACUCUAAUUCAUCUUAUCAAGCUUUUAGUUCUUUAGAACAAAUCAGAUUUUGCCCUGAUUAGUCAUGUUUGAUAAAUUUACAGAAACCCUGUCCAAAGGAUAGAUUUGACUCAAGAACUAAUUCGAUGAAUGA